rnacentral:rRNA from 1 species
AAAUUGAAGAGUUUGAUCAUGGCUCAGAUUGAACGCUGGCGGCAGGCCUAACACAUGCAAGUCGAACGGUAACAGGAAGCAGCUUGCUGUUUCGCUGACGAGUGGCGGACGGGUGAGUAAUGUCUGGGAAACUGCCUGAUGGAGGGGGAUAACUACUGGAAACGGUGGCUAAUACCGCAUAACGUCGCAAGACCAAAGAGGGGGACCUUCGGGCCUCUUGCCAUCAGAUGUGCCCAGAUGGGAUUAGCUUGUUGGUGAGGUAACGGCUCACCAAGGCGACGAUCCCUAGCUGGUCUGAGAGGAUGACCAGCCACACUGGAACUGAGACACGGUCCAGACUCCUACGGGAGGCAGCAGUGGGGAAUAUUGCACAAUGGGCGCAAGCCUGAUGCAGCCAUGCCGCGUGUAUGAAGAAGGCCUUCGGGUUGUAAAGUACUUUCAGCGGGGAGGAAGGUGUUGUGGUUAAUAACCACAGCAAUUGACGUUACCCGCAGAA